rfam:Mycobacterium riyadhense strain DSM 45176 contig_23, whole genome shotgun sequence.
GUCGGGUUCGGGACGAACUGAUUGAUUCGCUCGCCGAUGACCGCCCAGGUGCGCUUGCCGUCGUGGAGCAUCUGCACACCGCGGCGCGUGAAUUCCUU